rnacentral:rRNA from 1 species
UACAGAGGGGGCAAGCGUUGUUCGGAAUUACUGGGCGUAAAGGGCGCGUAGGCGGUCUUCUAAGUUCCGUGUGAAAUCCCUCGGCUCAACUGGGGAACUGCACGGAAAACUGGAAGGCUUGAGUUCGGGAGAGGGAAGCGGAAUUUCGGGUGUAGCGGUGAAAUGCGCAGAUAUCCGAAGGAACACCGGUGGCGAAGGCGGCUUCCUGGACCGACACUGACGCUGAGGCGCGAAAGCUAGGGGAGCAAACGGG